rnacentral:lncRNA from 1 species
GGCCGGGCAGCGCGAGCGCAAGGGACAGGGAGGGUCGUGGCGACACUCGCGCCAGCUCCCGGGACGGCUGGGCUCGGGCUGGUCGCCGACCUCCGACCCUCCACUAGAUGCCUGGCAGAGCCCGGCGCGUCCGGAGCCCGCGCCCCUCAGAGGGAAGGGGUCGCGCGUCGCCGCGGCGGCCCUGAGGCUGACGGUCGGGAGGUGAAAGGCCGGAGUGCGGGGUCAGGACGCCUCCUGGAGGGGGCGCGGCGCAGGGGGCCGCGGGGAAGCCGCCGAGGGCGCGGAGCGGGAAGGAAGGACAGUGGCCACCCCGCCUCCGCCUGGGCACGGGGCAGGGACCCGCGCGAGGCGGUGCCGGGGAGGUCCUCACGUACUCAAAAACAAGCAGAAAAGGCAUCCAGGGCCCCUUCCCGAACUCCCCACGGGCUGCCAGGGUGCAGAGAAGAAGCGCCUGAGGAGGAAGUGCCACACAAUGGGAGAGAACAAAGGGGAGCGGAGCGAGACCGCGGCCUGCGCCCGCCCCCCGCUUGCGCACAGUCCCCGCCCCGCCCCGCGGGCGCCGCCGCCGCCGCCCUCCCUCCCGCGCCUCCUUCUGACCCCGAGCGAGAGACCUGGUCGGGAGUCCGGCGGCUAGAGUUGAUUGCAAGGGGCCUGUUGCUCGACUGUGCGUUAAAGAGGCUAGAGGGAGCCUAGGUAGACGUGGGGCGCAAGCUGGAGCCGGCAGCUUGCGAGGGGGCCUUUACGUGAUGAGGCUCACCAUGGGGUCUCCAGCGAGGUGUCUGCAGAGCUUCGAUGGUGAGAGGAGGAACUCGAUUUCUCGUUUUCUGGAGUUGGGAUGUAGACAUAGAGAGAUCUGUUACAUCUGAGAUGAAAACCCUGCACAAUUCACGUUAGGGUUGGCCAAUUGUUUGCUUGACCUUAAAUGGUUAGUGUGGUUUAAGCUUCCCCAAAAUGCGCUGUGAGCUGAGCUUCCACUUUUGGAAUGAUUGCAGAAUUCGGUGCUUAAGAGAUGAGAAACUUCGUUCUACCAGUAAUGGAAGAAACGCUUCACCUUAAUCACCCUCCUUGUCUUUCCCCUCCCUUUGACUAUGUAGGACUCGAUAACACAACAUUUGAAAGAUUCUACUCUAUGAAAUAAGCACAGAUUGAAAUUCAGUAUUUGCCAAGGAAUAUUAAACAUGAAUUACUGGGAUUGAGGAAAGCCUGAUUUAUUUACUUGUUAGUGUCUGGAAUUCUGUUGGCCAGAUUCAUAGCAUUCAUUGUAUGAGUAUAAUUGGAACAUUUACUCUAAUGUAGAUGCAGAUGCAUCUGCAAUUAGAUGUGCAAGGACGCUGCCAGCUAACUAGCUGCACGACUUUGAGCGAAUUACUGGGUCAGAACUUGUAUCUACCCAUCUCAGAAACAGAAAUAGUGGGAUCCGCGUUGUCUAGUUGUUAUGAAGAGUCAAAAUAUCUUUGGUAACUCACCUAGCAUAGUAUCUGACACUAUUAGGUGAAUACUAAAUAUUAGCUAUCAUUGUCUCCCCACUUGAGCUAUGUAAACUAAUAGGACCUUUAGGAGAAUAUACUAUUAAUAGAAUCUUGGAGAUAGAGGAAAGGUAGAAACCCCUUGCUAGUUUGUUACAAGGUCUCCCCUUCUCCAUGCUCUCCCCUGACCCCCAUGCUAUUUCAACUGGGGGGAUGGGCAGGAACCAUUGAGAAACACUAGGGCAAAAAACAUGUUCAUGAAUAAUAGGGGAAGGAAAGGAACUUGGGUAUAGAAAACUAGAGGCAAAAGGUGAGGCAAGACCAACCAUAUAAUUUGGUACUUGAGACUCAAGUGAACUUAUUUUGUGUGUGUUACAUUAUAACAAUUUUUGAAUAAAAUAGGACAUAUCGGUUAACGUGAGUUUGAAGAUUUUACAAAUAAUAGUUCCCAUUUAUUAAGCACUUCGAAUGUGCCGUAUGCGCAUAAACACUUUAUAUGCAAUGUCUCAUUUAAUCUUAAGGACAGCCCCAAAGUAUCCCCAACUUUAUGGAUGAAGAUACCCACGCUUGGAAAUACUAAGUAAGUUGGUCAAGGUCUCACAACCUGGAAGUGGUCAAGCAGGGGUUCAAAUCCAAGAGCAUCUGACUCCCCACACUGUUCUGUACUGAGCUUUGUAUGGUGAAAAAUGGGGUUCCUCAGCUUUAAGUCAGUGUGUGUUUACAAAAAUUGCUUGGGUGGGGCCGGAGGAGGAGGCUUCCAUUGAGACUUUUCCUAUGUAACUAUCAGCCGUCUGACUUGCAAAAGGACUCAACCAAAAUUUUACAAAGCAAAUACUGCAAACCUCAUUAUGGUCUUUGCUCCAAGCUUUGUAGAAUAUUUUAGAUUCAUUUUAAGAGAUUUAUGCAGCAAGGCAUUCUGAAAGGCACAUUUUCAAUAUUAGUUAUAUUUAGCUACUUUUUAUACCCUAGAGACCCAAGAUUCACAUUGCAAAACACAUGCAAGGUAUCCAGAUGUACAAAGUAAUCAACAAAUUAAGAUCACAAGAGAACUUUGGCAGUUCAGCAAACCAAAAUAAACUGCACUGUUGUAACUACCACUUACUGGUUGAUUACCUUCUUUGUACCUAGCAUUUUACACAUACCUCUGAUCUCCACAAUCCUGUGAGGGAACUCUUAGUGCUCCAUUUUUAUAGAUGAAGAUACUGAAGUUUAGAGAGUGCAUGUAAUUUGCUCAUUACCAUGUGUCCAGUAAGUGGGUAAAAGCAGAUUAGAAUACAGGUCUGCCUCCAAAUCGACUCCAAAAUCUGUCUUCUCCACAAGUAUUGCCUUGGGAGGUGUUCAUUUUACUUCUAAUAAUGUCAAUCUUUGGAAGUAAUCCUAUAGAAAACACCCUAGAGUAAAUAAUAAAUUAUCCCCCCACCCGGGGGGAGCUUAGAAAUAAAUGAGGAUAUUUUAAGAAUAAAAUAGUAAAAAUUUAAUAUGUGAAUACACACAUUAAAGGCAUCAGGCUGUUUCCACCAGUAAAGUUUUGCUUCAUUAGUGUAGGAAGUCUUUAUUAUCCCAGUGUGAUUAGUACUCCUCAAAGUAAAUCUACUUAAAGCUGGGACCAAAUUUCAGACCAAUCAGUGAAGAAAGCUUUGCUUAAGACUUUAUUUGAAAAUAAAACUAAAUGUUAUUAAAAUACAUUCAUUCUGUCCUAUAUGGGCAUACCUCAUUUUAUUGUACAUAGCUUUAUUAUGCCUUGCAGAUACUGCUUUUUUAUACAAAUCGAAGGUUUGUGGCAACCCUGCUUGGAACAAGUCUUAUCAGCACAAUUUUCCCAACAACAUGUACCCACUUUAUGUCUCUGUGUAACAUUUUGGUAAUCCUCACAAUAGUUCAAACUUUUUUUGUUAUUAUAUCUGAUAUGGUGAUCUGUGAUCAGUUAUUUCGGUUUUACCAUUGUAAUUGUUUUAAGGCACCAUGAACUGUGCCCAAAUAAGACAUAGAACUUAACUAGUGUGUGUGUGCGUGCUAAUUACUCCACCGACUGGCUCUUCCCCUCCUCUCCUCAGGCCUCCCUAUUCGUUAAGACACAACAAUAAUGAAAUUAGGCCAGUUAAUAUCCCCACUAUGGCCUCUAAGUGUGCAAGUGAAAGGAAGAGUGACAUAUCUCUUUAAAUCAAAAUCUAGACAUAAGCUUAGUGAAGAAGGUAUAUCAAACACCGAGAUAGACCAAAAGCUAGGCCUUUACACCAAACAGUUGGCCACUCUGUGAAUGGAAAGAAAAAGUUAUUGAAGGAAAUUAAAAAUGCUACUCCAAUAAACACACAGAUGAUAAGAAAGCAAAACAGCUUUAUUGCUGAUAUGGAGAACGUUUUAGUGGUGUGGAUGGAAGAUCAAACCAGCAACAACAUUCUUUUAAGCUAAAACCUAAUCCAGAGCAAAACCCUGACUCUCUUCAAUAUUACGAAGGAUGAGAGAGGUGAGGAAGUUGCAGAAGAAAAGUUGGAAGAUAGCAGAGGUCGAUUUAUGAGGUUUAAGGGAAAAAGUCAUCUCCAUGACAUUAAAGUACAAGGGAAGGAGCAAGUAGUAAUGUAGAAGAUGCAGCAAAUUAUCCAAAAGACUGAGCUAAAAUCAUUGAUAAGGGUAGAUGAUGCAGCCUUCCAUUGAAAGAAGAUGCUCUCUAGGACUUUCAUAGCUAGAGGAAGAAAGCAAUGUCUGGCUUCAAAACUUCAAAGGACAGGUUGAUUCUCUUGUUAGGAUCUAAUGCACCUGGUUCCUUUAACUUGAAGGCAAUGCUCAUUUACCAUUUUGAAAGUUGUAGGGCCCUUAAGAAUUAUACUACAUCUACUCUACCUGUGUUCUAUAAAUAGAAGAACAAAGCACAUCUGUUUAUAUGAUGGUUUACUAAUAUUUUAAGCUCACUGUUGAGACCUACUCUUUAGGAAAAAAGAUUCCUUUCAAAAUGUUACUGCUCAUUGACAAUGCACCUGGCCAUCCAAGAGUUCUAAUGGAGAUAUAUAAGGAGUUGUACAUGUUGUUGUCAUGCCUAGCUAACACAACAUCCAUUAUGCAGCCUGUGGAUCAAGGAAUAAUUUCAGCUUUUAAAUCUUAUUAUUAAGGAAAUACAUUUCAUAAGACUAUAAUUGCCAUAGAUAGUGAUUUUCUGAUGGAUCUGGGCAAAGUAAAUUAACAACCUUCUGAAAAGAAUUCACCAUACUAGAUGCUAUUGAGAACAUUUGUGAUUCAUUUGUGGAAGAGGUCAGAAUAUCAACAUUAACAGGAGUUUAGAAGAAGUUGAUCCCAACCCUUCUGGGUGACUUUGAGGGGUUCAAGACUUCAGUGGAGAAAGUAACUGCAGAUCGGGUGAGAAUAGCAAAAGAACUAGAAGUAGAGCCCAAAGAGGUGACAAAAAUGCUGCAAUCUCAUGAUAAAAAUUACAUGAAUGAGGAGUUGCUUCUUACGGAUUAGCAAAGAAAGUUCUUUUCUGAGAUGGAAUCUACUUCUGGUGAAGAUGCUAUGAACAUUGUUGAAAUAACAAACUACUUAGAAUAUUAUUAUACAUAAAAUGAGUUGAUAAGGUAAUCACAGGGUUUGAGAGGAUUGACUCUAAUUUUGAAAGAAGCUGUACUUUUGGUAACAUGCUAUCAAACAGCAUUGCAUGCUACAGAGAAACCUGUCAUGAAAGGAAGCAUCAGUGUGACCAAAUUUAUUGUUGUCUUUUUCUAAGAAAUUGCCACAGCCCCUCCAGCCUUCAGCAACCCACUCUGAUCAGUCAGCAGCCAUUGACAUUGAGGAAAGACCUUCUACCAGGAAAAAGAUUAUGACUUGCUGAAGGCUCAGAUGAUAGUUACCAAUUUUUAGUAGCAAAAUAUUUUAAAAUUAAGGUAUGUACAUUGUUUUUUCUUAGACACAAUGCUAUUGCACACUUACUAUAGAGUAUAGGGUAAAUAUAACUCAUAUGCACUGGGAAACAAAAAACUUGCAUGACCCACUUUAUUGUGAUAUUUGCUUUAUUGCAGUGGGCUGUAACCAAAGUCAGCAAUAUUUUCAUAGUAUGCCUGUAUUUAACAAUAUUUACGUUGUUAGUAUGACUAUGUGCUAAUUGUAAAAUGAAUAAAUCAAGAAAGUGAUUGUUGGUUUAAUUUUUCUACAAAAGGUAAAGCACCGGUUGGGGCCCAGAACACAAUACCCCAAUAUGUAUGGCACCCUGACAUACUGAGUAUUUUGAGCCAAAGGAGAUUGGGAGAGCCACUAAAGCAGGAAUUUCUCUCUGACCUUCCCCUACUCCUAUUUUCUCUCCUGAAACAGAUCAUAGAAACUGAAAUUUCUCUCCCUCAAAGCAAGCCAUAAAACCUAAGAAGGUCACUCUCUGACCUCCUCCCUUUUGCCCUGAAGACCUUCGUGUGACAGGUGUUCUGCCCCUCCCUAGAGGCCAAAGAGAAUCUGAACAAACAGGCCUUGUUAAGUUUCCAGUUUAUUAACUUUAGGCCAUACCUCCUUUUUAUCCAAUCCCACUUCAACACGACUGUUCAUCCUUUAUCCCACCUAAGCACUAAAAUACAGUUUUCCCUGGGUCUUUGUGUCUUCAUUUUUGAAGGCUCCCAUGUCAUGUAAAACUUUGAUUAAAUAGAUUUGUGAUACUUAUCUCUUGUUAAACUGUCUUUUGUUAUAGGAGUGUCAGCCAUAAACCUUGUGAUAAGGGAGGAAAAGUUAUUACUUUUUCUCCCCAACUCAACUUACAAUAUGCCUUAUUUCAUAUUUGACUUUUACAGGAUAAUCAAAAAGAGGGUCAUUUUGUAAAAAUGUUAGAGGGCUUCAUCAGUUUCCCCAAGGGUCUCUAUUAGUUUUUUGUAUUCAAAGUAUUCUCUUCUGAAUCAGCAAUAUAGUCACCCUCCCUGUUGAUUUUUACCUUCACUUGUUAGUUUAACUCUACAAAUCUCUAUUUGCCAGUGGCCUUAUCAACCUUACUUUCAUUGACAUCAUAAAAUCUAACACUUUUGGCACGAUUUGCAAUUUUACUUUGCAGUAUAAUUGAAUAUAUUGCAUUGUAUUGUAAAUGUUUGCCACUAUGAGAGCAGGAGAGAAGAUUGUUAAGAAGGGAUGUUUGAGUGGGGGACUAAUUUAUAAGUGGUCCUAUCAUUAAUAAAUAUUUUUGUGUACUGACUUUUUCUUCCCUUCACCAUCUUACUACAGUGGAGGAAAGUGUGAACUUGGGUUGUGUCGUAGAAAAUGUGAGUGUCAGAGAGGCGGAGGUUGGUAAACAAGACUGCCUGAGAAACAUGGUUUGAAUUUGGAAGAACAUGAGAACAUGUAUGUGGCCACUUGUGAGAGCUGUUUCAUAAUUGAGAAAAAUGAAAUGGUGGUCUCAUCAGGCCUCUAGUGUCCUGGAUAAAAAUAUUUCUUGAAAAUACGUCUCUCUGUCUUCAUUCUGUGCUCACUUUCUGCCCAUAAUUUGACUUCCCGCUUGUUCUGCCUACAGGAAAAAAUGAACUGGUUACAACCACAGGAGCCUGGUCACCGCGGCAGUACUAUUGCUAUUGUCAAUGCAAACAUCCAAAGACAUUUUAGUUAAUAUGUGUGUUUUUUGUGAGUUUAAUUAGCAUGGGUCUGACUUCCUAGGUUUGUUUAAUUUUAAGACACUAACAUAUUGAGAUUUCUAGACAUGAUAUACUUUAAAAAAUGGUCUCGGUGAAUUAACCAAGAACUCUUAUUAUCUUCUUCAGAAGACAUCCCAAUCUUGCCACUAGCUUUUAGAAUUCUGUGGGCAUAUUACAGUUUAACAAAACAUUUAUUUUUAAAUAAAAUGCCAAAGCCAACCCUGAAUGUUACAUCUUACAUUGCAAGGGGUCAUACAAAAUGGAUAAAAGAGGGACCUGGUAGAUUGUGAGUUAUGGGCGUGUGACCCAGGAGACAAUUUGCUGCUUCCUUCUAACUCAGGUGAUCUAUUGCUUAACAAAAAUUCACCUACCAUCAUGAUAAAGGUAAGGAAUUCACAAGUCCAGCAAAAGUUCACUGUCAAGAAUGCUCUGUCCAACCUUAGAAUGUUGGACUUUGAAUGUCAUUAUGACCUGUGUUACAGGAUUCCUGUGGAGAUAAAUAUUAGUAGUCACUUUUCUAGCUUGAGCUGUCAGCACCUAAAGUGUCAGUAUCCUCUAUGAAGAACAAAAUCAUCAUUUGAAUUCAAUCAGUCAUUCAACAUAUAUUAUGUAAACCAGUCAUUUAACAUAUAUUAUGCAAAGGACUUAGGUUGAAAAUAAAAUGGUAAACACAGACAUAUUACCAAUAUCAAUUUCUGAGAGAGUAGUACUGUGUCUCAGAAGUUAGAAAAGGCAUUUGAAGUGUCUAGUCCAACCUUCAUCAGAUCUACUGCUUCCCUUUGCAACACUGCUUUUCAGGAGAUGCCCAGUUCCUCCAAUGGUAGGGAGAUCCCAGCAAGCACUAGGAUAAGCUGCUAUGAUUGAACCUGAUUGGAUGAUUUUCCCCAUCUAAGAAUAGCAUCACAAGCUAUUCAGGGGUCUCUGGACAAAGAUUUUGGAAAAGAAGCCAGUAGGAAAUGAGAAAAAAAUUUAAAAAAUAGUAAAAAGAAUUAAUUUUGCUGUGCAAUGACGCAAAUGCCCAGAUAGUUGUGAAGCCAGUGAGAAAUCAAGUUGCUAAUGUUUUAGAGAUUCUUAGCUUUUGUGGCAUGUGAGGCACAAUUUGUAAGAGUGUUGUGUUUCAACCUAAGCAUUUUUUGUUGUGACAUGUUGAAUACAACAGUGUAAUUAUUAAUAUGUUAAAUAUCACUCUCAAUGUUUUAUCAGAAUAUUAUCAUUUUUCUUUUAAAAGUGCCAUUUCCAAAGGGCUUGGUAUGCAGUUAAUGGGAUUUAACAGCAGAAUGCAUCUUGGAUUUUGUAAUGGAAAUCAAUGGGAGAAUAAGAUUGAUUUGAUGGAAAGUCUCUGUACUGCAAACUUUGCUGACAAUGACCAUUCCUUUAAGUGAGAGAUACCUAUUCCACAAGUGCUCAAUGAUGAGUUUUUAUGUAUAUGAUAGAUCUAGAUAGUUUGGAAAAUUAAUAAUGUCAGAAGCAGGUUUUGUUUUGUUUUGCUUUUUUUCUGACUAGUCUCUCAUUUGAAUCUGACUAAAUUUCCUUUACCAGAAGGAUGCUUACUUGAGUGCUUUGAAAACUCAGCUGAGUCAUAGUUUUUAAUGCUGGUCCCUGCUCUUCUCAGGAGUAAGUUAUCACAUGCUUUAAAAUCCUCCAUUUGGGCCGGCCGCGGUGGCUCACGCCUGUAGUCCCAGCACUUUGGGAGGCCGAGGCAGGCAGAUCACGAGAUCAGGAGAUCGAGACCAUCCUGGCUGACACGGUGAAAC